AUCCGGAAACGGGUGCUAAUACCGCAUAGUUUUCUUGAUCGCAUGAUUGAGAAAGGAAAGACGGCCUUUGUGCUGUCGCUUAUGGAUGGACCCGCGGCGUAUUAGUUAGUUGGUGAGGUAACGGCUCACCAAGACGAUGAUACGUAGUCCGACCUGAGAGGUGAUCGGCCACAUUGGGACUGAGACACGGCCCAAACUCCUACGGGAGGCAGCAGUAGGGAAUCUUCCGCAAUGGACGAAAGUCUGACGGAGCUAACGGCCGCGUGAGUGAAAGAAGGUUUUCGGAUCGUAAAACUCUGUUGUCAGAGAAGAACAAGUUGGAGAGUAACUGCUCCAGCCUUGACGGUAUCUGACCAGAAAGCCACGGCUAACUACGGUGCCAGCCGCCGC
rnacentral:rRNA from 1 species